rnacentral:tRNA from 1 species
GGGCGUAGCUCAGUUGGUAGAGCACUAGCUUCCCAAGCUGGUUGUCGCCGGUUCGAAUCCGGUCGCC